rnacentral:lncRNA from 1 species
CCAAGAAACUUUGAAGUUUUUGUAAUACGAGAUGCCAUGGCAUGCAACCUCACUGUGAUCCGGAGACUGGCUUUUUGCCAUGAACUGAUGAUAACUGAUUAACACUUGCAGUCCAUCCACCAAAUAAAUUAAAGCCUGCAACUCUAAUUUGCAGAGUAAGGCACACUCGACGAUCAUGGGGCAUCGGUGCAUGGCUAAUGCACGCCUGACAAUACAAGCGUAACCUUAUCCCGUUGCUGCAAGAUUCUUGAUCGAUAUACUCGCGGGGGUAGCCAUUGCGGAGCCUCUACCUGAAUUCUCUUUUUUAUUUUCUUUGUGAUGGAGUAUUACAUGAUGGAGGACGAGAAGAGAAGAAGACGAGGAGCAGGGCGAAAGAACAAGACCAUCUACGAGCAUUUCUUGCUCUUUCUAAGAAUUGUGACUGUCUGUACUUUAUACAACUCGUCCAGUGCAAGGCAGCCAUAUAUAUUUGUGCUGUGAUCAUCAAAUAGCUAGCGAAGCCAACGAUGUGAUUGAAAUGCAGGCUAAAUUCCCUGGAAAUUAAAUGGACAAGAGGAACAACGUGCAGCGCAUGCACUACUAGUAUCUUUCGGAUGCAUGCAUUUAUUUAUCUUUUUUUU